CUGAGUGCCACGUGCUGACAUCACUAAGAUCAAUACAGCAAACUCUGAAAGAUGGAGAGAGAGACAGGAGAUGGUCCUUUAUAAUGCAGUGUGAUCUGUGCUGCAAUAGAGAUGGAAGAGUGUUCUGAUCGGCUGGAAAACAACGCACAUGGGAAGCUGUACAGAAAUGAGUGGGGAAAGGUGAGGAAUCUGAGGCACAGAGAGAGUAAGUAUGUUGCCCAGGGCCACGCACCAAGUAUGUGGUAGGUCCUGGAGUUGAAUGCAGAGCCCCUCCACUCUAAACUCCUGAAAGCCAGA
rnacentral:lncRNA from 1 species